UUCCUCUCCUUCCAAAAAUACACGUUAGCAAGCAAAGCCCAAACUCUAACUUCUAAAAGACUAAAACUCUUCUUCUUCUGUUUCAACUCCUUCCAAAUCUUCUAUUAAAACCCAUAUAUUACAAUAAUGGCGGUUUGAGUAACGUCUGGAAACCCAAUUACGGCUAACCCUGCUUCAAUCUGUACUUCCAAAUCUUCAUCACUUCCAACAUUCUAGAUCCCUUCAUCAACUUUUAUUCUUCUGAAAGUUAAGAGAAAUUUCAACCAUCUACUAAUUUAAUUAUAUUUGAUAAAAAAAUAAAGCUCAAGUGGUUGUUCAACAUAAGAUCUCUUUGCCGAUCAGAGGUAAUUUCGCUAAUUUUUUUCCUUCAAUUCUGAUGCUAUGUGGUUAUGCAAUUAAAGAUACUAGCAUUAUCUCUGAUUCAUAAAUCAUAAUCCAAAGGGUAGUAGUUAAUAAAGUUUGAAUCCCAGAUGGAGUUCGAUGUUGAAGAAACUCACUGUCUAUAUAACCCAAGUUCGAUUGCUUCCAAUGUUUUUUACCCUCGAGACAGAAACGCUUCUCUUUACUUUAAUUGUGCUGCAAUGCAAGAUUGGCACCAUCUGAUGUGUUUUAAUGAAGGAAUACUUCAAAUCUCCUGGUAUAAUUUUAUCUGAGAGUCCUUGAGUUAUGUUAUCUUAUAAAUAUCAUAUACAUUAUCAUGAACUUACUGACUUUAAAAUUGCAAGAAAAUUAUUGAUUGAUCAUAAUUCAUAUACUAAUCCAUCAAUAUUCUUAGUAUUUACUGUACAUGACUACAAUUUCGAUGCCUGGCGGAUUAUUUGGGUGAAUGAAUGGGGAAGCCUUUAUUAAUGUACAUAGGUCAUAGACCAUGUUUGCUUAACGAA
rnacentral:lncRNA from 1 species